GACGUAGGAGGCAAGCGUUGUCCGGAUUCAUUGGGCGUAAAGAGCGCGCAGGCGGCUUGGUAAGUCGGAUGUGAAAUCCCGAGGCUCAACCUCGGGUCUGCAUCCGAUACUGCCCGGCUAGAGGUAGGUAGGGGAGAUCGGAAUUCCUGGUGUAGCGGUGAAAUGCGCAGAUAUCAGGAGGAACACCGGUGGCGAAGGCGGCUCACUGGACCGGUACUGACGCUGAGGCGCGAAAGCGUGGGGAGCAAACAGG
rnacentral:rRNA from 1 species